rnacentral:rRNA from 1 species
AGUAACGCGUAUCCAACCUGCCCAUCACUUGGGAAUAACCUUGCGAAAGUAAGACUAAUGCCCAAUGACAUUUUAUAGAAGGCAUCUUACCUACUAUUAAAGAUGCGUUUGCAUCGCUGCAGGAUGAGCUUAUGGUGUAUUAGCUAGUUGGUGAGAUAAAAGCCCACCAAGGCUAUGAGUACAUAGCUGGUCUGAGAGGAUGAACAGCCACAUUGGGACUGAGACACGGCCCAGACUCCUACGGGAGGCAGCAGUGAGGGAAUAUUGGGUCAAUGGGCGAGAGCCUGAACCAGCCAAGUAGCGUGCAGGACGACGGCCCUAUGGGUUGUAAACUGCUUUUAUAAGGGAAUAAAGUGAGUCUCGUGAGUACUUUUUGCAUGUACCUUAUGAAUAAGGACCGGCUAAUUCCGUG